CCUACGGGAGGCAGCAGUGGGGAAUAUUGGGCAAUGGGCGCAAGCCUGACCCAGCAACGCCGCGUGAAGGAAGAAGGCUUUCGGGUUGUAAACUUCUUUUCUCAGGGACGAAGCAAGUGACGGUACCUGAGGACUAAGCCACGGCUAACUACGUGCCAGCAGCCGCGGUAAUACGUAGGUGGCAAGCGUUAUCCGGAUUUACUGGGUGUAAAGGGAGUGUAGGCGGGAAAGCAAGUCAGAUGUGAAAACCAUGGGCUCAACCUGUGGCCUGCAUUUGAAACUGUUGUUCUUGAGUACUGGAGAGGCAGACGGAAUUCCUAGUGUAGCGGUGAAAUGCGUAGAUAUUAGGAGGAACACCAGUGGCGAAGGCGGUCUGCUGGACAGCAACUGACGCUGAGGCGCGAAAGCGUGGGGAGCAAACAGGAUUAGAUACCCUGGUAGUC
rnacentral:rRNA from 1 species